GAUAGCAUUCGACACGCUGUCAUGUUCCGCCACUUUGUAUUUAAACGCUCGUGGAAAUAGGUAUUAUUGUCAUUUUGUCGGAAGCCACGUACUACGCCAUAGCUCCAGGAGACAAUGGUUCGAGUAACGCUUGUCGUGAUCGCUGUGGUGCUGAUGGCUGCCAUAGCCAGUGUGCAAUGUGCCGAUUGGUAAGCAUAAAUGUAUGUAAUAUUAAAUAU